ensembl:snRNA U6 U6 spliceosomal RNA
GUGCUCGCUUCGGCAGCAUAUAUACUAAAAUUGGAAUGAUACAGAGAAGAUUAGUAUGGCCCCUGUGUAAGGAUGACGCUCAAAUUCGUGAAGCGUUCUAUAUUUUU